rnacentral:rRNA from 1 species
GCUCAGGAUGAACGCUGGCGGCGUGCUUAACACAUGCAAGUCGAACGAGAAAGCUCCUUCGGGAGUGAGUACAGUGGCGAACGGGUGCGUAACACGUUGGUGACCUGCCUUGAGGAGGGGGACAACCGUGGGAAACCACGGCUAAUACCCCGGAUGUCUAAACUGUUAGAGGGUUUAGACUAAAACUUCGGUGCCUCAAGAGGGGCCUGCGGGCUAUCAGCUUGUUGGUGGGGUAAUGGCCUACCAAGGCUAAGACGGCUAGGGGGCGUGAGAGCGCGACCCCCCACAAUGGAACUGAGACACGGUCCAUACUCCUACGGGAGGCAGCAGUGAGGAAUAUUGCGCAAUGGGGGAAACCCUGACGCAGCAACGCCGCGUGAACGAUGAAGGCCUUCGGGUCGUAAAGUUCUUUUCUAAGGGAAGAUAGUGACGGUACCUUAGGAAUAAGUCCCGGCUAACUACGUGCCAGCAGCCGCGGUAAAACGUAGGGGGCGAGCGUUAUCCGGAUUUAUUGGGCGUAAAGCGCACGUAGGUGGCGCUGUAAGUUAGACGUGAAAGCUCUCGGCUCAACUGAGAGAGGUCGUUUAAAACUGCAGUGCUUGAGGUUAGAAGAGGAGAGCAGAAUUCCCGGUGUAGUGGUGGAAUGCGUAGAUAUCGGGAGGAAUACCAGUGGCGAAGGCGGCUCUCUAGUCUACACCUGACACUGAGGUGCGAAAGCGUGGGUAGCGAACGGGAUUAGAUACCCCGGUAGUCCACGCUGUAAACGAUGGAUACUAGGUGUAGGGGGUCAUUUAACCCCUCUGUGCCGAAGCAAACGCGUUAAGUAUCCCGCCUGGGGACUACGGCCGCAAGGUUAAAACUCAAAGGAAUUGACGGGGGCCCGCACAAGCAGCGGAGCGUGUGGUUUAAUUCGAUGAUACGCGAAGAACCUUACCUGGCUGAACUACGUGGUAGUAGUGAAGCGAAAGCGGAUCGACCCUUCGGGGAGCUCGAUAGGUGCUGCAUGGCUGUCGUCAGCUCGUGUCGUGAGAUGUUGGGUUAAGUCCCGCAACGAGCGCAACCCUGUCGCUAGUUACAAGUGUUAGCGAGACUGCCGGUUCAAACCGGAGGAAGUGGGGAUGACGUCAAGUCAGCAUGGUCUUUAGUCCAGGGCUACACACACGUACAAUGGUCGGCAAUAGGUUGCCACACCGCGAGGG